rnacentral:lncRNA from 1 species
AACAAGUGACGUAACAAUUAAUCCCUGCCCCCAAGAGAAGAUAACUCUGCAAUACACAAAGACGGAAUAGGGAUUUGAUCUCUGGACCAACUUAAUAAUAAAAAGUAGGGGAGCUAAUCCACAUUUUAACAGUAAUGAAAUUUGUUUUCUUAAUCCUUUUCUGUAAUAAUUCAAAUGUUGCAGCUCCUUGAACUCAUUUGCCCCUGAAAUUUCAUAAUGAACAAUUCUAACCUUUGAAUUGGAAGAGUUUAAAUGUGUUUUCAGGGGUGAGUGAGUUAAAAGUCUUGCAACCUUAACUUUUGUGUAUGAAUAUAAAGGAAGUAAUAUAAAUGGAACAAUAAUAUAAUUUUGUAAGGCUUAUGUACAAUAGAAAAAGGCAAAACUCUCAACAUUGUGGCUAUAUAUUUAAAAUUGUGACAUCUUUUCUGUAGAUAUGAAAGACUGCUAUAGUCUGUAAAUUGUCUGUAUUAUUUGUUCUUCGGUAUCGUUUGUACAUGUAUAAUUAUCAAUGUAUGUAAAUUAACCUAGUAUUUAUUUUAAAGUGUGAUGGUAGGUUUAACUUAAAAUUGUCAUUUACAAUGUACCUAUUGACCGCACAGAGUGUGUAUGUAUUGUUUCAGUAUAACAUUCUAAUUUAUUCAGCGUAUGAGAUUUUCAUUACCAUACAGCAUUACAAAAAACAUCUUUUUACUAUAGCUGAUGAAUUUGAAGAAAGGGGGAUAGGCUUAUUACUGGGCACUCGCUCUAUGUACGGAAAGUAAGGAAAAGUGGGGGUGGGCUUAUUAACAGUCACCCAACCUAUGUACGGAAGGUAAGGAAAAGUGGGGGUGGGCUUAUUAACAGUCACCCAACCUUUGUACGGAAGGUAAGGAAAAGUGGGGGUGGGCUUAUUACUGGUCACCCACUCUAUGUACAGAAGGUAAGGAAAAGUGGGGUUGGGCUUAUUACCUGUGAAAUACAGUAGCCCAUCCGGUACAAAGUGACUUAAGUUAAUGCCAUAGCAAUUACGCCUGUUAUCAGUUUAAUUCUUCAAACUAACUUCUUCUACACAACCAUAAGGCCCAGAGGCAUGCUUUGUUGAACAUAGGUAACUAAGGUUACUGGAGUAAAGGCCUAUCAGUUUUGGUUUAAAUAAAUGACCUUGACCAACUUUUAAAAUCACAGCACUCAAAAUGUUGAAGACUGUAAACUUAUUCUUUAUUAAGAUUUAUAAGAUUUGUUACGAAUUUUAAUAAAAGCAGACUGAGCCUUUUUAUCCAUAGUAAUCAGUAAAAGUACAAAAUCACCAUAAAUCCUACUUCAGUUGUCCAUCGCCAUUUAACCCUGACUGUUGUGAGGAUGUUGAACCCAAAUUAAAUGCAAAAAAUAUCAGGUAUAUAUGUUAUCACAAUCUACAGUUCAUAGUAACUUGUGUUCAUAAAUGUUGUUAUAACAAUCUCUCUCCCAGUGUUCAUCAGAAGUCUCCCUCCAUCAGGAGGAAUUUCAAACUUCUUAACCAUGGAUAUAUUAUUGACAUAUUAGGGCAACUUUACCAUAUUCUGCUCAGGUCUUUUAAGUAAAUGAUUUAUGAACAUGUCGAAGAUAAUCUUGCUACUCUGUUAAAAUAGGAUUGGGGUUUAUCACUGUUUUCUGUUAGAAUGUGUUAGUAGUUCAUCACGCUUCCCUGUUAGAACUGGUAAAAGUUCGUCAAACUACUAUUUUAACACAGGUGCGAGUUGAAUAAAAGUCCUUCCAAAGGAUGCUAAUUUUGAUGUCAGAACUAGAAAAAGUUUCAUAUGAUAGCGUAAAUCAUAUCAGUAAACUUUUCAGGUCCUCAAGUCUGUGACUCACUGAAGUAUUAAAUGGGUCGUUAAGAAGUAUGGGUAUAUGAUAUAUGAUAGACUCUGGUGAUAUUUGUUGAUAUGCUUAUGUACAUCAUUGAUCAAAAGUAUCAUUUUGGGUCAUUUCUAGGUCAACAGUUUUCUGUUUUAGAAUGUUAUUUUAUGAGGGGUAUUACCAGGUGUUCUAGAAUAUUUUUAUGGUACUGUAUGGUGUAUGUGUAUUUUAAUGAUCAAACAGUGAAAUAGAUAUUAUUAUUUUUUUGCUAAUACCUGGACGUUUAAUUGUGUCAAACCAGGUUCUCAAUGGAUUUUAAUUUUCUGAUACCAUGUCUAUUUGUGAUAUAUACAAAUGUUUUUGUGGGUAAAAAAUAAAAUUCAGUUAAAAAAGAAA